AUGAAUACGCGUAUCAAUGACA
rnacentral:miRNA from 1 species